UAGAAGGUAAUACAAGGAGUAUUGGAAGUUUUGGGCUUCCGAAUCCAAGUUCAAAUCUUGGCCUUCUGG
rnacentral:tRNA from 1 species